GACGAACGCUGGCGGCGUGCCUAAUACAUGCAAGUCGAGCGGACUUGCAACGAAUGAUAUAGAGUGCUUGCACAAAGUUGAAAAUGUUGCGCUGGUCAGCGGCGAACGGGUGAGUAACACGUAGGUAACCUACCGAUUUGACGAGGAUAACAGCUGGAAACAGUUGCUAAUACUGGAUGUGGAUAAUAGAAGGCAUCUUCUAUUAUUUAAAGGAGCUUUCGGGCUUCACGAAUCGAUGGACCUGCGCUGCAUUAGUUAGUUGGUAAGGUAACGGCUUACCAAGACGAUGAUGCAUAGCCGACCUGAGAGGGUGAUCGGCCACACUGGGACUGAGAUACGGCCCAGACUCCUACGGGGGCAGCAGUAGGGAAUUUUCCACAAUGGACGGAAGUCUGAUGGAGCAACGCCGCGUGUGCGAAGAAGGUCUUCGGAUUGUAAAGCACUGUUAUAAGGGAAGAAGUAAGGGAGAGAGGAAAUGCU
rnacentral:rRNA from 1 species